UCUAAGGAUGAAUGAAAGUAAAAUUUCAUUCUAAAUAAUAUACAUCGGUAAUGUUGACCGUCCUCAUUUCUCUUCUUAAAGUAAUGUUUCCUUCUUGUAGGGCCGGUAGCUCAGUUGGUUAGAGCACACCCUUGAUAAGGGUGGGGUCGAAAGUUCGAGUCUUUCUCGGCCCACCAAACUUAACUGGGGGAUUAGCUCAGCUGGGAGAGCGCCUGAUUUGCAUUCAGGAGGUCAGCGGUUCGAUCCCGCUAUCCUCCACCAGGAAACAUUUAGUUAUAAAAACUGUAAAUAAAUUUAAUAAUUAAUAUCAAUAUCUAUAUCCGAACAUUAGUAAUGUUAUUAGCUAAUGUUCAAAAUAAAAAUUUGAUUCAACACAGAAUUUUUUUCUGUGCAUAAAU
rnacentral:tRNA from 1 species